rnacentral:rRNA from 2 species
UUGAAUGGCUCAGUGAGGCCUUCGGACUGGCCCAGGGAGGUCGGCAACGACCACCCAGGGCCGGAAAGUUGGUCAAACUCGGUCAUUUAGAGGAAGUAAAAGUCGUAACAAGGUCUCCGUAGGUGAACCUGCGGAGGGAUCAUUA